GACGAACGCUGGCGGCGUGCUUAACACAUGCAAGUCGAACGGUGAAGCGCUUGCCUUUUUGGUGGGUGUGGAUGAGUGGCGAACGGGUGAGUAACACGUGAGUAACCUGCCCUCUUCCUCUGGAUAACCUCAUGAAAGUGGGGCUAAUACGGGGUAUUCCGGGUCUGUCGCAUGGCGGGUUUGGGAAAGAUUGCGCCUUUGGGUGUUUUCGGUGGGGGAUGGGCUCGCGGCCUAUCAGCUUGUUGGUGGGGUGAUGGCCUACCAAGGCGGUGACGGGUAGCCGGCCUGAGAGGGUGGACGGCCACACUGGGACUGAGACACGGCCCAGACUCCUGCGGGAGGCAGCAGUGGGGAAUAUUGCACAAUGGGCGCAAGCCUGAUGCAGCGACGCCGCGUGAGGGAUGGAGGCCUUCGGGUUGUGAACCUCUUUCGCCAGUGAAGCAGGCCUGCUCCUGUGUGGGUGGGUUGACGGUAGCUGGAUAAGAAGCGCCGGCUAACUACGUGCCAGCAGCCGCGGUAAUACGUAGGGCGCGAGCGUUGUCCGGAAUUAUUGGGCGUAAAGAGCUCGUAGGCGGCUGGUCGCGUCUGUCGUGAAAUCCUCUGGCUUAACUGGGGGCUUGCGGUGGGUACGGGCCGGCUUGAGUGCGGUAGGGGAGGCUGGAACUCCUGGUGUAGCGGUGGAAUGCGCAGAUAUCAGGAAGAACACCGGUGGCGAAGGCGGGUCUCUGGGCCGUUACUGACGCUGAGGAGCGGAAGCGUGGGGAGCGAACAGG
rnacentral:rRNA from 1 species